UGGGGAAUUUUGGACAAUGGGGGCAACCCUGAUCCAGCAAUGCCGCGUGAGUGAAGAAGGCCUUCGGGUUGUAAAGCUCUUUUGUUAGGGAAGAAAUGCUUGAGGAUAAUACCCUUAGGAGAUGACGGUACCUAAAGAAUAAGCACCGGCUAACUACGUGCCAGCAGCCGCGGUAAUACGUAGGGUGCAAGCGUUAAUCGGAAUUACUGGGCGUAAAGCGUGCGCAGGCGGUUUUGUAAGUCAGACGUGA
rnacentral:rRNA from 1 species